UACGUAGGUGGCAAGCGUUGUCCGGAUUUACUGGGCGUAAAGAGCGCGCAGGCGGUCGUUCAAGUCGCGUGUGAAAGCCCCCCGGCUCAACUGGGGAGGGUCACGCGAUACUGAUCGACUGGAAGGCAGGAGAGGGUAAGUGGAAUUCCCGGUGUAGUGGUGAAAUGCGUAGAUAUCGGGGAGGAACACCAGUGGCGAAGGCGACUACCUGGCCUGUUCUUGACGCUGACGGCGCGAA
rnacentral:rRNA from 1 species